rnacentral:lncRNA from 1 species
UGUGGAGACACUGGUAUGGCAUACAGGUGAGAUGUAAGGGUACAUCAUCAUUGAAUAUGACCAACUCCAGAGCAUUCUGCUGUCGAGAAUGUCUCUGAUGGGAUAUAGGUAUAAGUGUCCCUUAGACCUGAGAUCAUCUCAGUGACUUACAAGCAACUCACUGUGUUUUGAUACUGGACUAACUGAAUUUCUAAUUCAGUAACGGAAGGCUUCUAGGCACAGUCAAGUACUUACAAAGUCAGAGUGUGAUCAAGUUGGGAUUAACCACUCCAAGAGUUGGAGAAGAAUGAGUCGCUGUAUUUCAAUUUAGCAAAAUCUUGGCCAGGAUAAUCCAUCAGAUGGAUUUGAUAUUUUGAAAUACAAUGUGGACAACCUGAUCAGAGUUGACAGUUGAACUCUGAGGUAUCCUAUGAGCAUUUUGGUCAAGGGGAUGAAUUAUAUGGAAACUAUAUUCGCAUGGGUUCUA